UGGAUUUUAAUGCAGCUCCGAGAAGCUGGCCAAGACUGAGGGGAUGACAAUCGUGGGGGUCAGGUGGUGUGAUUUCGGGCCAGAUGAAGUGUGCUUCACUCCACUUUGGGCUGCGGGUCUCCAAAUGUCCCUGGCUUUCGGGUGGGCCAGAUGACCCCAGGAGACCAGUCCUCAUGGGAUUCCUCCAGCUUAAGUCUUUGAAGCCAGGAGCUCAACGAGUCAGGCUUUCGUUUCGGAUUUCUGUGGAAUGGACCACCAAGCUCACAGCUGGGCUCUGAGAAGCAAGUGCCGCCCAUCCCCCAAAGCUGGCGGUUUCUGUCUGCCAACUGCUUGUUGCUGUCUUUCUAGCAUGUUCUGGUUCAGAGAUGGCAUCAGAGCUCAGGAAUCAAACCUAUCUUAUUCCGCCCCUCUGAGCUUUGACCCUCUCCUCUAGGAUAUGGACUCCACUCUGGUAUCCACCUCAAAGUGUGUGGUGAGAGGUCAUCUAGACAGCUCUGCGACAGUCCAGCACCUCGCACGUGUCCAUCAGCGGCCCCUCCCCGACCCCCUCGCCUGUCUGCCUCUUCUCGCUCUCUUGCUGCAGGGUGUGGCAUUCUCCUCACGACAUAGCUUGGAGGAUGUAGGGGGAAGCCUGAGAUGGGCAGGCCUGGACGCUGUUGGGAACGCCUGCGCCUGUAGGCGGGGCGCGGAGGCUAUCGCAAGAAUCCUGGAUUAGCUCCAUUCGCCCAUCAGGACACUUGGCAGGUUUAACUUUAUCUGGACGCCGCGGAUUGCUGUGCACCCUUCAUGGUCCCCUCAAAGAAGAAUUCUUUCCGUAUCAUCACUCUCUUUAAUACCGAUUUACUGGAGGGGGUUUGUUCUUAUAUUUCAAACGUCAAGUUCUUUUCCCAUUUUAACAGCCCCUUGCGAUUAGUUUUUAAAACCCCACCCUGUGGUUACGUGUAGAAUAUUUGAGGAAUUCACAUAUUUCCAAAAAUUGCUAACAGUGGGGAAAAUAAAAAACAAAUUCUUGACCCCACCUAUGAUGACUCAAUUGAUGUUACUCUCGGUCUUAGCCGGGCCCUGAGUACAUCGUGGUCAGCAGGCAGCAUUCCCUGAGGUCAGCUAAUUCGGUCUGUGGCACAUCACCAGCCAGGCAAAGCGAUGGGGCUCCAGCUUGCCCCACAGGCCCUCGAGGGCUUCCUGGAGGAGGUGGAAUUCUUCGAGGGAGCUUCGUUAGAAUUUACCCUACAUGUUUUUCAAGGUAGCUGUUGACUCUACUCGUCCUUGAGCCCCCAGCGCCUUCAGUGCUCCGUCUUGAGGUGAUCUCAGGGGUGGCAGAGAAGGGACAGCCAAAAACACCUUUGCUGUCAGGCACCACACCCACCUGGGAGCACCUGACUGAGAAGAGAAUGGGUCUGGGUUUUGUUUCACUUGUGGGUUCUCUAACUGGUGCUGUAGUUUUCACCUAAAAGGCAUUGGGAGGAGGGCAGCAGAGCCAUUGUACAGGAGACACUCCCGUUCACCUUGACGUCUCCGGGUUCUCAAAUGUGCCCAGCAUUCAGAGGAGUUAAGUGUACCGCGGGGAUAAGGAAUGAAUGAAUGAGACCCGUGCCCUUUGAGAGAACAAAGCUGUCACUCAUUUGGGCACAGCAGACUGAUUUAUGCACUUCAACAAAGCUCUCAGAAAUUUGGCCAAGACUUCCCACAUUCAGCCUCAGGGCGGCUGCGUUUCUGAAAGCAACUAUCCGCAGGUUCCCUAAUGAAAACCAAACAACAUAACCCGUGCCAGGACUCACCAGCGACAGACCCGGGAAAUCAGGCUUCUCUCUGAUUACCUGCAGUGUGUCUGCGGGGAGCAGCCUCGGCGGGUGUGGACGCCAAGCACCGGCCAAAUCCACAGAUGGUACCAGUCGUCACGAGGGAACCUGUGCCUUCCUGCGUCCUGGGAGUGUGGUGUGAUCCAGAUGGAAGACGGGAAACCUUCGAACCGACCUCAGGCUGCCUCCCACGCCCACCUCCAUCCCAGCACCUGGCAGAUCAACAGAUCCUUUGCCAGAUGCAGAAAAUCCUGUAUUCACAAAAGGCCCCCAGAAAGCAUUUUCUGUGAGUGUGCUGGGGAGGCCGCUCAGGCCCAUGAAGAAUGCUAUCUGUAAGAGCCUUCUCUGUGGCCAUGAGCCACUUGGCAUGGCAGCUCUCCGUUCCGGGGUGUCCUCCACAGCUGGACUCAGGAGCACAAGCUUGGCUCAAGAACAUAGACUCUGGGCAAGCUCCUCCCCCUUCCUCCGACUGGACGGACGGAAACCAUCAUCUCCAGGUGGAAAGAACACUCCAUGAAUUUCACUUAUGAAGCUGUCCGCUUUGUGUGUGCUUGACUCCAAAGGAAAUCCCAAAGGAGCCCUGUUUCUGCGGCCUCCCUUCUGCCCAGCUCACCACCCCUUGCUCCUGCAUUGCCUGGGAACUGGGUGUCUUGAUCCCUUCAUCUUCACCAUCAUCGUGGUGAUGUACUAUUCAUCGAGGAUAUUCCAAAUACCACGUUUGUUUGUUCUCAUUGUUGCUGUCCUGGUUAAGUUAGUCUUAUGCUCUUAGUAAUUUCACAGUCUGAACUGAGCAGAUGAUCAGGGAAAAGGUAGGAAAUUCAUGGAAUCAUUAAGGUUAGGACCUUGCAGGUAAAGGAUCCCAAACAAUAUUCUGCCCCAGUGGUUCUCAAUCAGGUGACUUUGUCCCCCGAGGGACAUUAGCAGUGUCUGCAGACAUGGUUGGUUGGGUGACUGGUCACUGCGGGGAGGAAGUGCUGCUGGAAUCUGGUGGGUAGAGGUCAUGAGGCUGCUACACACCUUACAGGACACAGCCUGCCCCUCCUCCCCCAUAAAGAAUGAUCCAGCCCAGAACAUCCUUAAAGCCGAGGCUGAAACAUGCUAGUGUCUACCUAGUGAAAGAACCCUUUCUAGUCUCAGAGUGGACAGCUCCAGGGACAGAGCUGCUCAAGAAACUGUGCUCAGGAGAAGCACCUCCUACCCUAGACCCACCCAUGCUGUAAUGAGCUGAUGACCAUGGCAAGAGCAGAUGGGACCAGGAGGCCUGGGGGCUCAAGGUGUGCAGGGGAACCCCAGGUAUGUGGUGGCUGUCUUCCGUGCACAGAAGUGCAUACACACAUUUAUUAAAAGAGAGGUGGUUGCAAAGGCAGGUAUAGAACAGGGACGUGGAAGUUGUGGCAGGGUCAGAUAUGGCUCUCUGAGGACGAACACUAGCUCUCACUGAGGCAGGGUUCAUGCGAGCCCCUAAGUUCACAGUGAAGAAAAUCCGGAGGUUUCCUCCAUGCACUUUGUUUACUUCUGCCCUAGCCUCCACUCCAUGCUGUUCCUGUGUCGUUGAUUUUUUGGCCCCAGCGGCGUUCACGCUGGGCUGGGAGACGAGCGGGGACAGUGAGGGUUGAAAUUCCAGGAGCAGACCUGCGGGACGCUUCAAGGCCAGGAGCGCCGUCUCCCUGGCUCUCCUCCCGCUGGAACGGCCUCCUGGCUCUCACGGCCAAACCUAUGAAGCUUGCCAGCAAGGGGAGAAGAAAAGGCAAACCAUUACUGCGAAGUUUAGGACACAAGUGGGGAAUGAGUGUGCGUGCAUGGCUUAGAGGAUAUCACUCACUCUCCCAGAAACUCUGGAUCGCCCUGCAAUAAAAACACGGAGCAUCCUGCUUGGGGCUGAGAAGGGCCUGGAGUGUCUCCUGGGGGCGUCUUUGAAAGGCUGCCCAAACCACAGCCCUAAUCACCGAGGCACGUGGCUGAUAUUUUAGCAAGCCUGCCUAGACUGUCACGGAACAGAGACUCAGGAAUACUGUCCCUUCGGAAAGCCGCUUCCCAUUCCCUCUCGUACCCACCUGGUUUGGGCAGGUGUCCCACCAUCCGGGGAGGAUGUUUGUUUGCACGGUGGCCAGAUACCAAGGGCAUCGCUCAAUACUCUUUUCCCAGGGGUGGGGCUCGGGACUUUUGGCAUCACGGUGUGUGUUGCUGUAACAAUAAUGUUUUACAUUAAUAAUGUUGCUUUCAUCCAGUUGGGUUUGAAGCAUCCUACAAGCUUUGUUAAGUAAUGAGAACAAGUUUUAACAGUUUAAUUUGUCUAUCAUUGAGCGUAGUUUCUGGGUGAAUCAUGGGGGGUUUUUGACCACACACAGCAACGGGAUAUUGAUCUGGGAUGGGGUAGAAACAAGGGUUUCAGCUGAGCUUCAAGGAAGCCAAGCCUUGGUGUGAACUGGAAAAGCACCAGGUCCCACACGGGUUGUACACGGAGUGAGUAAGGACCGAGAUGAAUGGAUGUGUCCAGUGCCUGGUGUUAUAGGAGAGGAUCAGAGACGUUAUGCGAGUGGUCUGAGGUCACACAGCUAGCUAAUGGCUGAAGCAGGCUUGAGCGGUCUGUUCCCCGCAGCAGUGCUGAUCUCAGAGAGAAGGACAGAUUCUUCAGGGCUGGAAGACCGGUCUCAGGUGGUUUUCUAAGGAAGGCCACUUUUCGCUUCCUUUAAAGCUAAGAGAUGGAUCUUGAGCAGUGGUAUGGGGAAUGGUUUGUUCCUCUGCAGGAUGGAAGCAGGGAAGCAAGCCCUGGGCGGUAAGACAAAUUGCUCUCACGAGGGCACAAUGUACCCGAAACAGGGGAUGGCGAGGCACACGUGUGCCCCAUCUCUCUCUCCUCGCCACACCCCUAUGAGGAGGCCAUUCUCAACUCCAUUCUGCUGCUGAGUACAUGAAGUUUUAAGGAGGUGAAAUGAUUUGCGCAGACACAGCGCCCGGAAGGUGGUGCUCCCCACGGCUUUCCCGGUGGCCCUCACGCUCUCUUCAGGCGCCUGCACUCUUCUUCUCCUCUUACCCUGAGCCCCUGUCAUAACACCUGGUAAGGGGCAUUGGAAGGGCACCCACUGCAUCCCAUGUGCCCUUGAAGACUGACCUUGGCUGUCCUGGCUUGACAAAAGCUGUGAGCACAUCUGCUCAGGAGAGAGCUUCGCUAAAAGGAAAAUCCAGCAAGCAGAACUUCCAUGUCAUCUCGUCACUUCCCGGGGAGGUGCCUGAGUUGGGCGUGAAAAGUGCCACCCCUAGGGACGUCCCUUCCUCAUCCCUGGAACUGGCGAAGGCGUUAGGUUACGUGGCAAAGGAGAAUUAAGGUUGCUAAUUAGUUGAUGUGAACAUAGGGAGAUCAUCCUGAUGGCCCUGGUGUAAUCACAAGGGUCUUCAAAGUGGAAAAGGAAGGUGAGCAGGUGAGCCAGAGUCAGGUGUGAGGACCAGACCAAUUCUGGUCACAGAUGGACAUCUACUGUGUUCUGGUGGUCACAAUUCUGGUGGUCCCUGGUGAUGCAAGAUUCAAGACCGACCUGGUCAUCUCUUGUAGGGAGCUGCUGGUCUCCCUGAGCCUGGGCUCAUCGCCUCUUCAGGGUCUGUCUGAACGUCUUGAGACUGGCUUCUCAUAGGCGGCUCACCCCCAUGAGCACCUGGCUUCUCCCUAGUCCCUACUGGAAUUCCAAGGAACCUUCUAUUAAUUACGCAAAGCACAGCAAACAUGGUGCUGUCAUGGCACAUGCAACUUGACUGUAGACUGGGCCAGCAGGGAGAUUGAUGCAGGAAAGUCACUGUAGCAGGGACUUUAGGGCCCCAUGGGCUCCCUCUGCCCUGAGCUCUCCCGCCAUUGUUGUACCUCCCACCUCCCGGACCAUGCCCUCCCUUCCCGGAGUCCGCACUCUCAAGCACUUCGAGGGACAGCAUUAUCCCCACCCCCUCGGUCCCACUGGGGCCCCUGUCACCAUGUCUUCCCUGUUACAAAUGUGCCAACAACAAAGGCAGCUUUGACAUUCUUCCAGCACACAGCAGUCUGGCUCCUGGGUCUCUCCAGCGCUGCUACCCCGGGAGGACUCCGGCUUCCCCUUGCACAGUGAGAGUGUUUUCUCAUCACUUUUCCCAAAACAGAGUGGCAAUCUGUCUCCAAAGAUGAAGCCAAAUGACCCGCCGGAGCGGCAGGGCUGUCCUGACACUGUACACAGCGUCACUCCCUUUGUAGCUUGUAAGGGCUUCUGAAGCCGGGUACUCAGACUGCCUCUGAGCAGCGUGCUCCUGGCUCCUGUGCUGGCAAUCUCCGUGCCUGGGUCGCAGAUCUGAGCCUGGGGUCCCCCUCCCUGAGUCAUGUCAAUGUUCCGUCCUCGGAGGGCAGCAGGCUGUGGUCCCCUGACCAGCCAGGCUUCUGUCACGCCAGGCAGGUGCACCACUCCCUGUCCCUCACACCAGCUAGCGACCCCCUGGAGCGCCUGGAUUUUUUUCGUGACACAGGAUGCCACCAGGCUGGAGAAAGAGUGAUCAGUUUCACUCCCCGUUCCCUCAGCACAUUCUACUCCACAGCCCAAGGAUGGACGUCCUGUCUCUGGGCCAGGGAUGCAGGCUCCCCGGCAGCAGCAUGGAGACAUACCGGAUCUCCUUGCACAGGAGCCGGGGUUGCAGGGAGACCCACCACAUCCACCAUCCCAGCUCCUCUCCAGACUGGAGGUGGGGAUCCUGACCAGGCCUGAGGCAUUUGCUGUGCCCGGGGCCCCAUGGACUUCCGGUGGUGUUUGCAGCCUCUUGAGAGCCGAGAAGAAUGUUUGGGUAGGCCUGACACCUGUUUACAGUGCAGGGCAGAGACUGGAGCUCUGGUGUCCAGCACAGUGGGAACUGUGGUGGGGCCCCACGAAUUAACACCUGGACGGCAGCUCAAGGCCAGGCUCUCUGAUGAAUGUCUGGCCCCGGCACCCGCGCGGCUCUCAGGUCUCUUCUCCUGUGUAUCAUUUCACAUCACAGCCCAUGCACAAUGACCCUGAGUGUCCUUCACCACCUUUUAAUGGCUUAUAAUUUACCCCUAUUUGAUUAGUCAUUACAAGUCAUUAGGCAUUGGGAUGGGUUAGGUGGUGUCUCCCCAGAUUCAUAUGUUGGUAUUGCAACCCCUAGAAUGUGACCUUAUUUGGAGACAGGGUCUUUACCUGGUAAUCCAGUGAAAAUGAGGUUAUCCAGGUGGGCCCUAAACCCAAUGACUGGCAUCCUUAUAUCAGGGAAUAUUUGGACACAGAGAGAGGUAGACAUUGAGUGGGGACCAUGUGAAGACAUGGGGAGAUGGUGGCUGUCUACACGCCAAGGAGAGAGGCCUGGGACAGCCUGGGACUGCUGGGACUCACAGCCUCAGAGAGAACCAGCCCGGCUGACACCUUGACCCUGGACUUCUGGCCCCCAGAGCUGAAAGACAAUCAGGUUCUGUUGCUUUAAGGACUUCAGUCUGUGGGACUUUGUUCUAGCAAUCCUAGCAAAGGAAUGCAGACCUUGUCAUGUGUGUUUGUUAUGAUAGAUAAUCCCACGAGAGCAUCUCCACGCCUGUGUGAGCGGGGUGUGAACCUUUGCUCCUUCUCUAGGACCCACUCACAUGCCCCUGCUCUCCACAGCUCCUCCUAACCCCUCUGUGGGCACCAUGUGUCCCCGCCUCCCUCCACCAGAGCUCCUGUCGGAGGCGGCGGUCAGCACGGAAGUACAAGGCUGUGGGUCGCCUUCUCUUUGCACCCGUCAUCCUGAGCCAGCAUGGUGGAGGACAGAUGGGUCUCUACUGCACAGGGUCUCUACUGCACACAGUAGGGCCUCUGGGCAGUGGCCACACUUGGUGGCCAGUGUGGACAGGUUUGUGUUCUGGCUGGUCUUUCUGUGGGAGCCCCACUUCGGGACCAGGCAGGACACAGAGGUUCUGAUGCCUGCGCUGGCUGACAUGGAGGGACCGAGGAUGGUGGCUCUGCAAUGGGACCCUGGCAACGAAUGGAGCCCCAGGCCUGCCAGCUGGGCCAGCAGGAGAGGGAGAAGCCACCAUCAUGGACACAAUGUGUGAUCUGGCUGAGACAGUCCAUCUUGGGGCGAGUCUUGCUGUUUGACCCAGAGUAAGCUGAUGGCGUGUUAGAGUCAGUACCAUGGAAUUUAUUUCAUCGUGGACAUGUUAAAAAUCUGCUGCCUAAAAGUUUAGGAUGCAGGUUUGAAAUUAAAAUGUCAGUCUACCAUAGAUAAUAAAAGUACAAGUACAA